GCGUUAUCAAAAUGAGGAAAAAGGGCUUGAGCAAGGUGACCUUGUCCUCGGUGAACAUGGAACGGGGAAGGAGUAUCUUGAAGGAUUCGGCAUCCACCAAGAACCGACAUGGCGCUGCAUCAAUAAAACGAGAACCUCCCAGGCGGCCAUUAGUUCAGAUGUGAGGAAGGAAGGAGGUGCAAGCUGACCACAUGAUUAAGAUCUAGUCCACCACCAUCGAUACCAAGAACGCCUCGCUGCCUCGACCAUGCCGGCGGCGACGCCUGGAUCCGGCGGCGGGGGAUCACAGGCACGCGAUGAGGUGGUCGCCCCCCUGCCGCGCCGCCGCCUAGGCUGCCGCCUCCUGUUCGACGAAGCUGAUGCCGAAGGUGGACGGCCGGGCGGACAAUGGAGAGGCCUCCUGAUCCAGUUGUUGCCGCUAUCGCUUAGAGAGGAGCUGCAUUGAUGUGCGCUCGAUCCGCCGCCGAGGAUGUAGCCCAAUCCACGUUGCCGUCGAGGUCGAUGCCGCCGCUCGAUCUGUUGAGGCAGACCUCCGCGUCGGCACUGCCGAGGUCCUCGUCACAUCCGGCGAUGAGGAGCGGAGGAUGAUGCAACAGGAAGGGGGCAAGGGUGGCGCCUGAUGGUUGGAUGGCAGCCACCGUCCUAUUGCCAACUCACAACUGGACGACGCGCCGCCACACCUCCAACGCCGACAACCAGCCCGGAUCUCGCCCGCCAUUCGCCGAUCCUAAAAAAAAGGGGUGGACAGCGACGGGAGUAGGGGGCGAUGGUGGCGGCGCUGCGUGGACGGGGGAGGUGGCGGCACAAGGGGGACGCCGAUGUGGACGGGGAGGGUCAUCUCGGCGGCGUCGAAGCCAGCUCUACCUCAAACCCCCGCCGCUGGAUCCAGGCGGAGGACGACCGCCGUCGCCGGAUCGGGCGAGGGACAGCCCCGCCGAGCCCGUCGCCCGCCGUUGGCGCAGGCCAUCGUCGUCGCUCGCUGCUGGCGCAGGCCGUCGCCGUCGCCCGUCGUUGGAGGAAGCUGGAGGGACCCCGCCGCCUGCCGCCCGGCACACCGAGGAGGCCCAAGCCGGCGACCGCCCGCCGCCGACCUGCAAUCGCCGCUCAACCGCCUGUCGCACCCGCAGGCCUUCAUCGUCGCUGCCGAUCCGUAAAAAGUGGAGAUGGAGGGGAAAGUGGGUGAACGGUUUCUACGAGGGAGAGGGAGGGAGUAAAUAUAGGCCUUGUUUGGAUACUCCGGGCUAUUAACUAAUCCAUAAUUAGCGGCUCCGGGCUAUUAACUAAUCCAUAAUUAGCGGCUGAUUACUAUAGCAUCACUGUAGCAAAUUAUGGAUUAAUAUUAGAUUCGUCUCGUAAAAUAGCCUAGAAAUUAUGGAAUAGGUUUUAUCAGUAAUCUACGUUUAAUACUCUUAAAUAGCAAGAUUCCGAAAGCCUCCGGAUCCAAACAUUGCCAUAGUUAGCAGAUAGAGUUGAUAGUAAAAAAUUGACUCCGUUAAGCGUGGGA